rnacentral:rRNA from 1 species
AUUGAACGCUGGCGGAAUGCUUUACACAUGCAAGUCGAGCGGCAGCGCGGCCUUCGGGCUGGCGGCGAGCGGCGAACGGGUGAGUAAUGCAUCGGAACAUGCCCAGUCGUGGGGGAUAACACUUCGAAAGAAGUGCUAAUACCGCAUACGUCCUGAGGGGGAAAGCGGGGGAUCGCAAGACCUCGCGCGAUUGGAGUGGCCGAUGUCAGAUUAGCUAGUUGGUGGGGUAAAGGCCUACCAAGGCGACGAUCUGUAGCUGGUCUGAGAGGAUGAUCAGCCACACUGGGACUGAGACACGGCCCAGACUCCUACGGGAGGCAGCAGUGGGGAAUUUUGGACAAUGGGGGCAACCCUGAUCCAGCCAUUCCGCGUGAGUGAAGAAGGCCUUCGGGUUGUAAAGCUCUUUCGGCAGGAACGAAACGGUGGGCUCUAACAUAGUCCGCUAAUGACGGUACCUGAAGAAGAAACACCGGCUAACUACGU